rnacentral:lncRNA from 1 species
GAACCAGCUCUCAGCACUGGUCCCCUACCCAUUUGAAUGCUUUUAGGAAGAUGGAGGACUUUCAGAAGAAACUAAUCAGAAUGAUAUGACAGUUCAGUUAGCCAUGGUUAGGGGAACUAUAAAUAUUUAACUAGGAGAGGACAGGAGAAUAGAAAACUCGUUUCAAAUAUUUGGAGAGCUGAAAAGUAGAAGAGAAAUUAAGAAAUUGUUAGUAUGACCCUGUGGCCCUAUGUGGAAGCUAUAAAGAGACUUUUGUCCCCAAACAAGAAGGAACUCACAAAUACGUACAAAGAUGUGAUGGGAAUUCUUGUUCAGGAUGCCAGAUAGUCAUGCAUAUAAAUGCUUUCUGCUACAAAAUCCCAUAGAAAUAAUGAUAAAGAAAAAUGUAGAAUAAUAAGCAAAAGACCCUACUGGAUAUAGGAGAAGGGGUGUCAGGGAACUGGAAGUAUAGAGAGAUUUCUUAAAAGUAGAAAUACUUGGAUUGUAUUAACAGAUUAAACCAUAUUCAUAGGAGAAGUCUGCAGUAGGGGCCAGAGCUAUUUUUCCUGGCAGCAGACCCAGAGAGACUCAAAACUUGGAGUAUGAGAAGGGAGUUGGAGAUGAUUCAACUGUGGAAUAACUGUGUGAGUCAUAGUCCACAUUCUCCUUCCCUGUGUCACAUGCUCAAGCAAAAUCCAAAGGA